rnacentral:tRNA from 1 species
AUAGCUCAGCUGGACGGAGCAGCCCCCACUAGGGCAGGUCGCAGGUUCAAAUCCCGCUCGGGGCACCA